UAUGAUUAUGCACAUUUCACAGAUUCUCAAACUCUCCUAAACCCUUGAGGACCUCAUGGGCCUCCUCACGGGUAAAGGAGCCAGAGUGAACCCGAGGUACAGCCUACAAUUCCAGCAGCCUUGUUUUGGUGUGCUAUAUAAACAAAGGAAGGAAAACUGAAGCCCAGAGAAGUUGAUCAAUCUGCCCAGGGACACGCAGCGACAGAGGAGGUGAAGGUUUUCUCCUUGGAAUAUUGAAGAGGAAAUAUGCAUUAGAAAUACGUCAAGUCAUGGGGUGCCUGGGUGGUUCACUCAGUUAAGCGUCUGACUACGGCUCAGGUCAUGAUUUCAUGGUUUGUGGGUUCGAGCCCCACGUUGGGCUGUGUGCUGACACCUCAGAGCCUGGACCCUGCUUCGGAUCCUGUGUCUCCCUCUCUCUCUGCCCCUCUCCCGCUCACUCUCUCUC